rnacentral:rRNA from 1 species
UACGUAGGGCGCAAGCGUUGUCCGGAAUUAUUGGGCGUAAAGAGCUCGUAGGCGGUUCGUCGCGUCGGCUGUGAAAACCUGAGGCUCAACCUCAGGCCUGCAGUCGAUACGGGCGGACUUGAGUACUGCAGGGGAGACUGGAAUUCCUGGUGUAGCGGUGAAAUGCGCAGAUAUCAGGAGGAACACCGGUGGCGAAGGCGGGUCUCUGGGCAUUAACUGACGCUGGAGGAGCGAAAGCAUGGGGAGCGAACAGG